GGGGAGGGGCGGCGAGGCGAGGCCUGCGGAGCGGAGGAAGACAAACAUAAAGAUGAAGUGCUUAAUUCAAGGUCACACAAUGUCGGGGAUGGACCUCCAGAUUUCCUUACUGACCUGCAUUAUCUUGUGGAUACCUGAGUGAAUUCCACACCACCCAUUUUAUAGAUGAAACCACUGAGACAUGGAGCAAUUGACUGAGUAGUCACUGCCCCACCCCUGCCUGGAGCCUCACACAUGACUCGCCUCCUCUCAGUGACCACAGGAAAACAAGCUCAGGGCUCCCACUGAUUGUACAUUAUGACCAAGUGUGUUGGGGACUUGAGAUGCGUACAUGAGUGUGAUGUUUCCUGCUGAAAGCACAGGUGAGACGUGGUCUUGUAACACAGUGGUUAAGAAUGUGACUUUGGAGCCAGCCUGCUAGGGGCUGAAUUCUGACUCAGCCAUUUACUAACUGUGUGACCUUAGGUCACAGAAUUUUCCACACUCCUUGACAGAGGUGCUUAACCCUUAUCCAUCAGCAUUCUCAGACAGCACCUCCGGUUAGGGACAGUAUCUGACCGUCCGACAUCCCUGCAGCCCCCAUGUGUCACACAGACUCAGCCUCAGGUAGAUGGUUUCCGUAGAUGGUGGCUUUCUUUGGACCCUUGACAUCAACCAGUUACUAUUUGGGGACCAGAUGUGCAGAGGUAAUGAAUACCAGGGAAUCAGGAAACCACUGGAUCAGUUCUUUGAGCCACAGAACAAC
rnacentral:lncRNA from 10 species